GAUGAACGCUGGCGGCGUGCCUAAUACAUGCAAGUCGAACGAGGUCUUCGGACCUAGUGGCGAACGGGUGAGUAACACGUUGGUACCUACCCUCUAGUGGGAAUAACUGGCCGAAAGGUCGGCUAAUACCGCAUAAUACCGCAAGGUUAAAGCAGUAAUGCGCUAGAGGAGGGGCCUGCGUCUGAUUAGCUAGUUGGUGGUGUAAUGGACCACCAAGGCGACGAUCAGUAGCNGGAUCGAGAGGUUGACCAGCCACACUGGGACUGAGAUACGGCCCAGGACUCCUACGGGAGGCAGCAGUAAGGAAUCUUCCACAAUGGACGAAAGUCUGAUGGAGCAACGCCGCGUGCAGGAUGACGGUCUUCGGAUUGUAAACUGCUUUUAUACGGGAAGAUUAUGACGGUACCGUAUGAAUAAGCACCGCUAACUACGUGCCAGCCGCCGCAAGU
rnacentral:rRNA from 1 species